rnacentral:rRNA from 1 species
AUACGUAGGGGGCGAGCGUUGUCCGGAAUGACUGGGCGUAAAGGGCGUGUAGGCGGCCGAUUAAGUCUGGAGUGAAAGUCCCGCUUUCAAGGUGGGAAUUGCCUUGGAGACUGGUUGGCUUGAGUGCGGAAGAGGUAAGUGGAAUUCCCAGUGUAGCGGUGAAAUGCGUAGAGAUUGGGAGGAACACCAGUGGCGAAGGCGACUUACUGGGCCGUAACUGACGCUGAGGCGCGAAAGCGUGGGGAGCGAACAGGAUUAGAUACCCUGGUAGUCCACGCGGUAAACGAUGAAUGCUAGGUGUUGCGGGUAUCGACCCCUUCUGUGCCGCAGUCAACACAAUAAGCAUUCCGCCUGGGGAGUACGGCCGCAAGGUUGAAACUCAAAUGAAUUGACGGGG